CUCCAUUGGCUCUACAGCACCCGACAGCCCCACAACCACCAUUGCCUCUACAACUGCCAUCAGCCCCACAACCACCGGCAGCCCCACAACCGACACCGGCUCUACGGCACCCAACAGCCCCACAACCACCGGCAGCCCCACAACUACCAUUGGAUCUACAGCACCCGACAGCCCCAGAACUGCCUUCAGCCCCACAACCUCCAUUGGCUCUACAGCACCCCACAGCCCCACAACCACCGACAGCCCCACAACCACCCCCACCCCAACCAGCAGCCCCACAACCACCCCUAACCCAACAACCACCCCCAUCCCAACCACCAGCCCCACACCAACCACGAUCCCCACAACCCCACCCACCAGCCCCACAACCAGCCCCAUUCCAACAACCAGCCCCACAACUACCCCUAUCCCAACCAGCAGCCCCACAACCAGCCCCAUCCCUACAACACCCCCCAGCCCCACAACCACCUCCAUCCCCACAACCACCCCUAACCCAACAACCCCAUCCUCCAGCCCCACAACUACCCCGAUCCCACCCACCAGCCCCACAAUCCCAACCACCAGCCCCACAACCAGCCCCACAACCAGCCCUACAACCAGCCCCACAACCACCCCUAUCCCAACCAGCAGCCCCACAACCACCCCCAUCCCGACAACACCCCCCAGCCCCACAACCACCAACAGCCCCACAACCACCCCCACCCCACCCACCAGCCCCACAACCACUCCCAUCCCUACAACACCCCCCAGCCCCACAACCACUGAAAGCCCCACAACCACCCCCACCCCAACCACCAGCCCCACAAUCCCAACCACCAGCCCCACAACCAGCCCCACAACCAGCCCUACAACCAGCCCCACUCCAACCACCAGCCCCACCGCCAGCCCCACAACUCCAACCACCAGCCCCACCACCAGCCCCACAACCAGCCCCACAGCCCCAACCACCAGCCCCACAACCAGCCCCACAACCAGCCCCAUAGCCAGCCCCACAACCCCAACCACCAGCCCCAUCACCAGCCCCACAACCAGCCCCACAACUACAACCACCAGCCCCACAACCAGCCCCACUCCAACCACCAGCCCCACCACCAGCCCCACCACCAGCCCCACUGCCCCAACCACAAGCCCCACAACCAGCCCCACAACCAGCCCCACCACCAGCCCCACAACCAGCCCUACAACCAGCCCCACUCCAACCACCAGCCCCACAACCACCCCCACACCAACCACUAGCCCCACAACCACCACCACCAGCCCCACAACCAGCCCCACAGCCCCAACCACCAGCCCCACAACCACCACCACCACCAGCCCCACAACCACAGCCACCAGCCCCACAACCAGCCCCACAACCACCACCACCAGCCCCACAACCACAACCACCAGCCCCACAACCAGCCCCACAGCCCCAACCACCAGCCCCACAACCAGCCCUACAACCAGCCCCACUCCAACCACCAGCCCCACAACCACCCCCACACCAACCACUAGCCCCACAACCACCACCACCAGCCCCACAACCAGCCCCACAACCACCACCACCAGCCCCACAACCAGCCCCACAACCAGCCCCACAACCACCACCACCACCAGCCCCACAACCCCAACCACCAGCCCC
ensembl:lncRNA